CACGUAGGGGGCGAGCGUUGUCCGGAUUUAUUGGGCGUAAAGAGCUCGUAGGCGGCUCGGUAAGUCGGGUGUGAAAUCCUCAGGCUCAACCUGGGGUGGCCAUUCGAUACUGCUGUGGCUUGAGUCCAGUAGGGGAGUGUGGACUUCCCGGUGUAGCGGUGAAAUGCGCAGAUAUCGGGAGGAACACCGGCGGCGAAGGCGGCACUCUGGGCUGGUACUGACGCUGAGGAGCGAAAGCGUGGGUAGCGCACAGGAUUAGAUACCCUGGUAGUCCACGCCGUAAACGUUGGGCACUAGGUGUGGGGCCUUCUUCAGCGGGUUCCGUGCCGUAGCUAACGCAUUAAGUGCCCCGCCUGGGGAGUACGGCCGCAAGGCUAAA
rnacentral:rRNA from 1 species